rnacentral:tRNA from 1 species
GGGGAUGUAGCUCAGUGGAAGAGAACUUGCCUAGCAUGCUUAAGGGUCUGGGUUCAAUCUCUAGCAUCACCA